GUGAAUCAUCGAAUCUUUGAACGCACAUUGCGCCCAUUAGUAUUCUAGUGGGCAUGCCUGUUCGAGCGUCAUUUCCACCUUCGAACCUACGGGUUUGGUGUUGGGGUUCUUGCGCCUGCAAACCCCAAAAGCCAGUGGCGGGCUCGUUGCGACCCCAAGCGUAGUAAUUCACCUCGUUUAGGGCGUCCGACGGUGCUCUGCCGUUAAAAUCGUACUCUGUACCAAAGAUUGACCUCGGAUCAGGUAGGAAUACCCGCUGAACUUAAGCAUAUCAAUAAGCGGAGGA
rnacentral:misc_RNA from 1 species